rnacentral:lncRNA from 1 species
UUUGGUAAGAAACCUUUGGUAAGAAACCUUUGUGCAAUUUUUCAUUAAAAAUAAUUUGUAUUUUGUAAAAAAUUGAUAAACAUGUUUAUCAAUUUUUUAUGUUACUAUAAUAAUAAUAACAAUGUGUAAUGCAGGUUGUUGGCCAAUGGUUUAUUAUCAAAAUUUAAUAUGGCUGGCGGUAAAGGUAAAGAGAAGUUUAAAUGAACAAACAUUAGAGAGCGUCUUGUCAAUUAAAGUGACUGCUACAGUUGCCGAAAUAAGAAAAGGAAUAAUGACUUUAUUAAAAUACGCACUCGACAGAUCAAAUGGUGGUGGUCGGCGCGUAUAAGGCGAUUCACCCGAUGUUUAACAUUCAUACUUUUUCCUAGUUGUUCUGGAACUAUUGAUAAUACUUAUUAUUGAUAAAUUGAUAAAUAUAUUACAGAUAAAUAAAACUUUUUUUUUUAAACAUUUUACUUUAUUUGCAUUGUAUAUAAAGUCCCUUGAAGCAAUUUAGUUGUAUCUGAUUAAUAUACUUGAAAUACAAUAUUCUCUGCGCAAA